rnacentral:rRNA from 1 species
GACGAACGCUGGCGGCGUGCUUAGCACAUGCAAGUCGAACGGAAAGGCCCUGCUUUUGUGGGGUGCUCGAGUGGCGAACGGGUGAGUAACACGUGAGUAACCUGCCCUUGACUUUGGGAUAACUUCAGGAAACUGGGGCUAAUACCGGAUAGGAGCUCCUGCUGCAUGGUGGGGGUUGGAAAGUCUCGGCGGUUGGGGAUGGACUCGCGGCUUAUCAGCUUGUUGGUGGGGUAGUGGCUUACCAAGGCUUUGACGGGUAGCCGGCCUGAGAGGGUGACCGGCCACAUUGGGACUGAGAUACGGCCCAGACUCCUACGGGAGGCAGCAGUGGGGAAUAUUGCACAAUGGGCGGAAGCCUGAUGCAGCAACGCCGCGUGCGGGAUGACGGCCUUCGGGUUGUAAACCGCUUUCGCCUGUGACGAAGCGUGAGUGACGGUAAUGGGUAAAGAAGCACCGGCUAACUACGUG